rnacentral:rRNA from 1 species
UGGGGAAUAUUGCACAAUGGGCGCAAGCCUGAUGCAGCCAUGCCGCGUGUGUGAAGAAGGCCUUCGGGUUGUAAAGCACUUUUGUCCGGAAAGAAAUCCUUGGCUCUAAUACAGUCGGGGGAUGACGGUACCGGAAGAAUAAGCACCGGCUAACUACGUGCCAGCAGCCGCGGUAAUACGUAGGGUGCAAGCGUUAAUCGGAAUUACUGGGCGUAAAGCGUGCGCAGGCGGUUUGCUAAGACCGAUGUGAAAUCCCCGGGCUCAACCUGGGAACUGCAUUGGUGACUGGCAGGCUAGAGUAUGGCAGAGGGGGGUAGAAUUCCACGUGUAGCAGUGAAAUGCGUAGAGAUGUGGAGGAAUACCGAUGGCGAAGGCAGCCCCCUGGGCCAAUACUGACGCUCAUGCACGAAAGCGUGGGGAGCAAACAGGAUUAGAUACCCCUGGUAGUCCACGCCCUAAACGAUGUCAACUAGUUGUUGGGGAUUCAUUUCCUUAGGUAACGUAGCUAACGCGUGAAGUUGACCGCCUGGGGAGUACGGUCGCAAGAUUAAAACUCAAAGG